ensembl:lncRNA
CUUGGAAGAAGUGCAUCCUACUAGAUGUUUAUAUGAACCUAAGCGUCAUAACCCACAGAAGUGGAGCACAUGGUUAAUAAACUGGAAUACGGAAUCAGUUUUAAAAGACUUGAAUUAUUUUCCUUUCAUUAUAGUUUAUAAAAUAUAUUCAAUUUAAGGUGUCAUUUUUAUGUGUUUCCAUAACUUGUGCCAUUACAGACGUUUAUUUGAAAAUACAAUUGUGACUGUUUUUACAUACCAUUGGAUUUCUUGAUGUUAAUUUUAGGACAUUUAUAUGAAGGCAACACUUCUUUACUGAUUCCUGUUAUGUUCUGGGCUUGUGUGUUAGGUGAUGUUCGCUUGGCCCUGAAAUCAGUCUGGAAUUUCUUCUGCUAUGAAUUGCCUGGAGAAGUCUUGCUAUUGGAAUACUAGUAUCUAUUCUCCCUACUUAUAAAAUAACCAACCUUCCACUUACGAAACUGACAYUUUGUUGUCAAACUAUGGCUUGGUAGUGCUGCUGCCUGAAUUAAAGGAAUGUGGUGGAUGGAAGUGUUAGUAAAAAGAUUACUCAGGAGUGAGUUCUUGGUAGGAAUAGUUAUCUGAAGUAAAGAUGUUAUUGCACUGAGAAAAAGAUACAUGCAGAACACCCACUGUAAGUAGCUGUAAGUAAAUUCUUUCAAUUCAUCUUUAGGAGUUUUAUUAGAAAUUGAUGCAAUACUUUCAGAAUUGGGGCGUAAACAUAACUAAAAUAUUUUUGCAGUUGCAUGGGUUGCAGAGAUACAUGAAAUAAAUCUGUACAGAACCUUAUGGAAUGAGACUACGAAAAGCUGCAAGCCACGAGCUAAUGCAUAGGCUUUGUCUUUUGCAUUUAUCUCUGCUGCAACUUGUAAUCCUUUCAGAGCACAAGAAUGCUGAAGUAGAAUUGGAAGAGGAAAUUCAGUCUGUUCUUCAUGAAGCUCUCCAUUCCCAGUCUGGAGGGAGACAUGAAGAUGUAGAUGAAAGCAUAAAUGACCAGUGGCAAGUGAAGGAAGAAAUACAUGAAGAAGCUUUUGGAACUCCUACAGCAGAUGACUUACAUGGAGAAUCAGAGAAUGAAAUGCCAGAAGCAUAUGAGUUGCCAGAUUCAAUUCAGAAAGAAACUGAUGUUUUAGCAGAUGAUCUUGGAGCAAUGGAGCCUGAAACGUAUGAAGUUCCAGUUUCAUUUGAUUAUGAUAUGGGUGUGGAAAACACAGUAAGUGAGCCAGAAGCUCCAGAGGACAGAGUGCAUGGGGAUUACAAUGAAGAACACGAACCAAAACAGGAAGAGGAGACUGGGAGCCAAGAUACAGCUGUCGAGGACGUUCCUGAGGAGAUAAAUGAAGUCACAGAGCCGGAUGAAGUUAUUGAAGAUUUGGAAAUUGAUGAAAAGCUGUCAGUAGAAAGUAAACAUACCGAAGAUAAAGUGGCGACUGAGCCUGAGGAAUCAGAAAUGCCUGUUCAAGUUGAGGAUUAUUCAGAUGAUAAUCUAGUGGAUACUUAAAGCUUCAAAAGAAAAGUCCUACAUCAGGAGGACCGGCCCUAACCAUACGCUACAAAAGGGGAGCAGAUGGUUGUAAUAGACCUCACGAUGUAAUUACUGAGCAGUUCAGGGUUUGGGGAGUGAACACUAAAAUAUUGUAAAUGGGUUAUAGCCAACUGUCAUUUUAGUACGCUUUUUUUAACAUUUGGAUGUUUAAUUUACAUUCCUGUCUGAUUUUUUCUUGUCAAGUUCAGUGAAUUCAUUAGUUUCAUUUUUCUUCUGUGUUUGUGACAGGCUUGUGAGUUUGAUCUGCAUUUUAUAUGUGCUGUUCAAGCAAUUUGUUAAUAUUCUAUUUAUAAUGUAGCAGCAAGCACAUUUUUUCAGAUUUUAAUAUAUAUCUUUUGUUGUGGAUUCAUACAGUAUGUAUAGAGCAGUUUGGUCAAAUGAAGCGCAUAAUAUUAUGAAUUUUUACGUGUUUUAUAACUGCUGAUAUAGCAUACAGCCUAAAUGCAUUUUAUUGGAAACAGUAAUCAGACACACACCGAGCUGUGAAGUUUGACCUAUAUCUCUUUGCACUGAUGUUAUGUCAUCAGUUACACUACAUCAAUUUCAGGUCAUUUAAAAUAGUCUAACAAUUUACAAAAUGCGUAUGUUUAAUUCGUAGCAGUAAAAUGGCAGAUUACUAAAUUACUUUUUUCAGAAACCUUUUAUGUAUGAAUUACAGCAUUUUAUUUAUGCACAUUUGAUUUUAAAGCAAAAAGAAGUCUUGAAACUACAUAAUGGUCUGACAGGGAGUCAGUGAAGAUUGAAACAUAGCUGAGUAGCUAGUAUCAAGUUGAGUUUAGUAAAAUUCUUCUAUUUUGCCCACAAAUAUAAUGGUACCACAGCUGGAUUCAGGAAGCUGGAUUCAGUGAACUCUUGACAAAGUUAAAUUUGCAUAAAUACUGGGCUUGUAAAUAAAAAAAAAAAAAUCAGCUUUGGAACUUUAACC